AUGGAGGAGGCCAGCGCCUGCACCCUGUACCGAUGCGUCUGCUGCUGGCGUCGUCUCUGCUCUCCCCGGAUCCCGCGCGUCGCCCCCGGCAGAGACUACGUCUGCAUCCCGGCUGGCGCGGAUGACAGCCCCGCCUGGUCGCUGCUCGUCGGCUUCCUCUCCGCAUCCAUCCCUAUGAUCUCCGAAGACAGUGUCCUGGGCCUGCACCGGUUCCGCGUCGCGCGAUCCGGUCGAAUCCUCGGCCGGAGCGAGGAUGCCCUCGACACCCUGUGCACCGUCGAAACCACCAAGGGCUGCAGCGGCAUCGCCAGCGCUACCGCCGCGCUGACUCCCGACGGCCGCUCGCUAUGCCUCUUCUCUGAGCACCUGGAUCCGGGCAAGAACUCGGCGACCCCACGAGCCCAGCAGCUGCGGCUGGCCCACGAAGCCGCCACCAUGUCCGAGCUGCCUCGCCUGCCGCAGGACACUUGCACGCAUUGCCGCCCCGUCUCGGCCGCCGGCCACCUCUGGGCUCCAUACGUCUAUUUGGAGUAUGUAGGCAAGUGCGUCCUCGGGAUGCAACGCUUCCGCAAGGACGCUGACCGGUGGGAGCAGGCCGGGGACACCUUCCCCUUCCACUACAAGAGCCAAAUGACCAAACUGUGGAAUGGCGACUUCUUGCAGGGAUGCGCCGUUCUCCCGGACGACACCAUCUUGGUGUCGCUGCGACCAGCUCAGGGCGUCUUCUUAACCUUCAAUUGCUCCGAUUGCACCUGGACCGUGGUCACCACCUCCGAGAACACACAGACGGUCUACGUCCCCAUCCUGGGCCCUGGUGUAUACAUACAAGGAGAUGAUGAUACAGAUGAUGAUGGUGCCGUCUACUUCCUCCGUGACAAUCGCGUCUAUGCCUACAAGCUGCGCUAUUACCAGGACCAGGAGGAUCAGCGAAGAAAGCUCAAGCUGGAGCCGCCUACCAUUGUCGACUCUGUCUGUCCUUUCUACGAUGAAGGCUAUGGUUUCCUCACGCACCUGGGCGGCCGACUCAUGUGCUCCGUCUGGAUCAGCGUGGAGCGCCACUGCUCCUGUGACCAUCUGCACGCCAUCAUCUCCACCUUCAGAGUUAGACCAACCAGCGCUCGGCAGAAAGGCAUCGAUAUACUGCAUUCCACCUGCCGCCGCUUGGAUGUGCUCUCUGUUGGACUACCAACCCAUGAAUUCUGCUUCCUACAGGAGUAUGAGGACCAGAAUGCCAUGCCGCCUGCAAUGCUGGAGUAUCCAACCAGCUCUCCCGUCAUAGAAUCCUCCAAGAUGCUUGAUUGUUGCAGCAAUUUUCUAUCUGUAAAACCGGGACAUUACGAGUUUGAGGAGCCUCCUGAGGACCCAGCUGUCCAGAUCAAUAAGGACCUAUAUAUUAUUUGCGAAGCUCAAUUCCAGACAAUUGUGUAUGUUGCCAAAAUAGAGAACGGAAGGGUGGGAUCUCAUGACAAACUUCUCACGCAAAAGCAUGCUCUGGUCUUAUCUUACAACACUGACGAUCAUUACCUUGUUCGGUAUCGGUCUCCCCCGUGGCACCUCGUCUUCAGCAGUCGCAGCUCCAACGCAUAUGUUGUCUCUAACACACAAGAUGGCAUAGAUGCAUACGGUCCAACUGAGGAGUCCAAGCUGUUUCCAUGCACGGAGCCUCCCGCUCCUGACCCUUUCUCUAUGGUUCUUGAAGUUGGUAACAGGAUUGUCGCUCUGAGCGAGACUCUCGGUGUUUCCUACCACGAUGGAUCCAAAUGGGUGCGUUGCAGGCACCUCGCAGACGAAUAUCUUGCUCUGAACGGGAAGGUUGACCUUUCGGGAUAUGCGGUCCUGGGUGACAAUUCCUUCGUGGUUUCCGAGGCCGGCACAGGUUCGAUCCUUAUGUUCGAUCUGCGUUCCGAGAGAUGGAGCAUUGUGCGGCAUGCUUCUGCUUCGUGCGGAGCCCAAGUGUUGAACGGGAGAUCUGUGUUUGUUGAUGGUUUCAUCUACACAUGCACAAUGGGGGGCAUUCUCGCGUAUGAGCUGGUUGAUCAGCAAGAUGAUGGCAAGGAGCUUGGAGAGCCCGUCCUCUUGCAGUUCUCGUGGCAGUUGUCAGAGCGCAGGGGUUGGGACGCUGAAAGGAUGUGCUUGGAUUGUGCUGACAAAGACAAGAUCCCUGAUGCGAUUGUUUUCUGUGUGGUGCAAGGUGAAUAUGGUUGUUCAAAAAACCUUCCUGGCAGCCUUUCUCGCAGCCACGAUGUACACAUCACAACUGUUCAGGUGAAGACUGAAAGAACACACAGACGCAAAAGGAGGCCAGAGAGAAUUGACCAUGUGGAUAUCAGCACAUGUUUCAUUGAGCAUGAUGCAGCACUUGUCUGGACCAAACGUUGUUUUGCAGUUGAGUCUUCUUGA
rnacentral:rRNA from 1 species